UUAUGUACCAGCUCCCUAAUCAUGUUUUUUGUUUUUUGGGUUGCUAUCUUAGGAGAGAACCUAGUGUCUUAUAUGGGGAAGCAAAGCAGCAGCUCACAACUCCGACCUGCAACUCCCGAUGAAGGCACAACGACGCACCAUGCUGCUCCUUUGGAAGAUACUGGCCUUCAUUCGUCAAAAGUUGGUGUACAAGAGCUCCAGGAGAAGAAUCCCGAAGAAAACCAGCACCCAACUAUGUGUUUUAGCUCCCUGGAGCUGGCCAUGUUAAUAUUAGGUGUAUUUUAUAGUUGAAUACCUGAUUUGUACUGCCAUGACUGUAAAGUACUUUGUUUGGCUGUCGUUUGAAAUUGUAUGUGUUAUUGCCUCUGUUUGAAUUAA